ncrna:unclassified sequences Glutamine-II riboswitch (downstream peptide RNA)
CAACGUUCACCUCGCUUAUGCGAGGCGCAGAUCACCAGGCCAAGGAACGGGGACCUGGA